rnacentral:rRNA from 1 species
UACGUAGGAGACGAGCGUUGUCCGGAGUUACUGGGCGUAAAGGGUGCGCAGGCGGCCUGGCGCGUCGCGAGUGAAAUCUCCUGGCUCAACUGGGAGGGUGGUCGCGAGACGGCUGGGCUUGAGGCUCGGUGAGGGGCGUGGAAUUCCGGGUGGAGCGGUGAAAUGCGCAGAUAUCAGGAGGAACACCGGUGGCGAAGGCGGGACUCUGGGCCGAUACUGACGCUGAGACGCGAAAGCGUGGGGAGCGAACAGG